GUGGUCGUAUAGGUUCUCAAUUGGACCUUUACCGGUCACAAUAGCUUGGACGAAAUAUCCGAACAUCGAGAACAUAGCCAACCGUCCGUUCUUAACCUCUUUGACCUUCAAUUCGGUGAAGGCCUCUGGGUCAUCAGCUAAGCCCAAUGGGUCGAAUGAGCCUCCUGGGUAAAGUGGGUCAAGACCAUCUCCAAGUGGACCUCCACCAACGCGGUAUCCUUCGAUAAAGCCCAUCAAAACAACUUGGCAAGCCCAUAUGGCCAAGAUGCUUUGAGCAUGGACCAAGUUAGGAUUGCCUAAGUAGUCAAGCCCACCAUCUGAGAAGAUUUGAGAUCCAGCUUUGAACCAAACGGCUUCACCGAAUUUAACUCCGUUCUUUGAUAGAAGCUCUGGAAAGACACAACCUAAGGCGCCCAACAUGGCCCAUCUGCAAUGGAUCACCUCAAGUUCACGGUUCUUUGCGAAGGUCUCUGGGUCCGCUGAUAGACCGGCUGUGUCCCAACCGUAGUCACCUGGGAAUUCACCAGUUAGGUAUGAUGGAGUUUGCUCAGAGAAUGGACCCAAGUACUUGGGACGGUCUGCGCCGUACCUGAGAAGUUCCAAAGAAGUAGAAGAGAGGAAGAACAAACAUAUUAAUUAUGCACCUUACUAUGAUACCAUGUUAGAAUGGAUUAUAAGAAGAAAUAACAUGGUCGUACCAAACGCUGUCGGGAGUGCUCUUCACUGUGCGGCGCAUAGAUAUGCGACUCUCGAAGACUCCAACUUUGCGGACAAGUUCAUUUUGUUGCUUCAAGGUUGUCUGACCAACAAAGACAGAUUGAUGAAUCGCAGAGGUGGCCAUUCCUUGAGCUUCAAAAUGGAAGAGAACGAAUAGUUUUUUUUUGCUGUGUUCUUUGAUUUUUCAAACGGACUGGUGUGCUUUUAAAAUAAGUGGUUCAUUCAUUUUAAUGGUCCCCCUAGAUAAAAUUUAGAUUUCAAUUGGAUUAGGAUUUUCAGGAUUGGUCCAUUGUACUGAUGCCAUGUGGAAAACAUAUCUGGUGACAUGGCAUGAGGAUUAGAUUACAGCCAAUUGUGCAAAAGCCAUAUGGCAAACAGAUCUAGUGACAUGGCAAGAAGAUUAGAUUACAACCAAUUGUAUUAAAGUCACAUGUACAACAGUACAAGUCAUAUCUAGAGAUGGAUAAAAUUAAAACCCUUAAUUUUAUUUGUUUAAAAAAACACAAAUAAAAUUUAAAAAAUGAUUUUAAUGCGGUAAAAAAACAAAACAAAAACUAUUACGUAAAUUACUUCAUCUCCUCCAUUUCAAAAUCAGAAGCUACUUCUCCAUCCACAAGCCCAUUCUUUCCUAAUAAAACAGCAGUCAUCAUCAGUUUACCGGCAUCAGGAAAAUCCUUAUGCUGCAUCAAUAAUUCCUGCACAGAAUCACAAUUCAAACUUGGGGAUAAUCGCCUGUUAGUGUGCUCCAUGUGAAUCGGAAAGAUGUUAUCCAAUUCUCCACCACCUUCCACAUAAAAUUUAUGCGAACAUUUGUAAAGAAGUGUUUCUGUUAGAAACAUCUGAGUGGUUUCGUCACUCCAUCCUUCGGUCUGUGAUCUCUGGUGGAGGGAUAUCCAAUUGUCAUGAUCGGCUGCAGUUCGCCAACAUUGUUCAAGAAGAGGUUUAUUCGUGAGAUGGAAUGUUGAGGGACUACAUACAAAGACGUCAAAUGCAAGGAGCGUGAGGUUUGGAGAUUUUUGAUUGAUACAGGUUUCAAUUAAGGUUUUUGCUGAGAUUAUUGUUGGUGAUUCAUCUAGAGUAGCUUCAACAUUGUGAAGCUGUAGCUGCUUUGUGAUCUCUUCCUGAAAGAAUUUAAAGAUAAAAAUUAAAGUAUGUACUCGAUAGACCGACAAAGAGAAAGUCAGUAGUAUAUCUGAGAAUCUCAAAACCCUAAACAGUUUUAAAAUUUUAUUUACAACUAAUGGAGUUUAGCUUUGAAGAGUAAAAAAUUUAAACCUUAUUACGAGUUUACACUUCACAGUCAUUCCAUCAUUAUUAUUUUAUCAAAAAAACCAUUAUUUCAUCUCUCUUCCAUAAUUUAUCAUUUUAAUUUUUUGAAUGAAAAUCAAGCAAUUACGAUAGGCCAUGGGGUAAAUAUAUUAUAGGAAGCACUUCCUAUAAAGUUAGAUAUGGGUACGAUAUCAAGAAAGUCCUAACCGAAGACAAGGGGAAGGUAGAGAGCAGAAGAAAGACAAGGAGAAGAAGUUCGGCAAUCGGCAAAGAUCUCGUUAUCAACCACCUCCUUUCUCUCAUCUCUGAAAAGGCUCUACUCGCUAAAAGAAGGUACGGGUUUAGCGCAUGGAAGGAUGAUAUACUCUCUGAGAACCUCCUCUGGCCAGAAAACCUAAAAGGCUAAAAUUGAAGAAUAGGAUUCAUUAUAUGACAAUAGAGGAGUAAGUCCAUUGAUACAAGUAUCAACCGAAGCUUAUAUUUGUAACACCAUAUUGGGGUUUAGGAUUUAAAGGAUAAGUUAAACCAAGAGUAAUAUACAUAUUAUAGGAAACAAAAAAGUAAAAAACUCAAUAGAAUGAAUUGAUAUUUGAGAAAUCGAAUUAAUAAGGAGAAAUGGAGAAACCAGAAAUUGCAAUAUGAAUUUAAUACCUGUAACUUUAAAAUCUUUAAAUCGGCAUCUAUGCUCUUUAUCUUUGAUUCAAAACCAGCAACUCUUCCUAUCAUCAUAUUAUAACGAAAUUAGAUUGAGGUUAAGAAUUGUGUGUAAAAAUACAUGAUCUCGCUGUUUAUGUUAUUAAAAUAUAUAUACAUAAACAUAAUUAUAUACAUUUUUUUUGUAAACAGAAUAUUUUCAUUAAUAAUAAUGAAGGGUGAUAUAAAUUAUAAUACCCUGGAAUUACAAAGUAGAAGAGAUGACAAAAUGUGGUGGGGUGGAUAGAGUGGUCUCCCACAACUAUCAACCUUCUCCUAUUAGUCCUAUAUAGCAUUUGCCCUUAGUGAUAUAAUAAUUAAGAACUGCCUCAGGAGGUUGGACUCCCAAACCGUUGCAUUGUAGACUUGUAGUCUCCUCCAUUUGUGAGCCACAAGUCCACAACCUCCUCUUAAAGAUUUCGAGUCUGAAAGAGAGGCUGAAGUCACUAUAUUCAAAAAAUUGCUUUAUACUAAAAUAUAUUAUAAAAUUGUCACAACCUUGCAAGGUUUCAGAUGCUUUGAAUACACAGAUAAAAAUUCACAAGUGAUUGUAAUUUAACAAGAAAUUAAUUAGACAAAUAAUAUGAAAUACGCAUCAAGGUUUUCUAUGCGUCUAUGCGUUCAUGCGAUGACAUUUUAAGCAUAUAAGUAUAUGCGUGCAUAUACGCGCAUAUAUGUAAAUAUGCGACAUGUUAUAUUUACAUGUAUUUUUUAAAAUUACCCCUGAUAUUUCCAUAAUAUAUGAAUAAUAUAAUAUAGCAAAAAGUGUUCCAAUGACCCAAUAAAGUUUAAAAGUCUAAAUAGUAAAUAGAAAUUGCAUAACAAAGUCUAAAACUAUAUAAUUAACAAUAGUCUAAGGCUCUAAGCUCUAAGGGGCUUGCUCAACAUCCUCUUCAACUUCAGCUCUAAGGAACGCUCACCGGAGUUCUACUGCUGGUCAGCCUGGUCCGUUAAUGUCCGACGGAAGGGAGGGGGAAGGGAGGAGGAAACUUAGGGUUAUUUUUCUAUGCGUUUUGGUUUUUUUUUUUUAAAUUUUUAUGGGUAAAACCCUAUUAUCCAACCCGACCCAUUGACCCGACCCGCCCCAGACCCGCAAACGCAUAGAACAUCUAUGCGAGGGUCUGGAAAACCGCAUGGUCGUUUAUGCGGCGCAUAAACGCCGCAUAGAAAACCAGGAUACGCAUUAUAAAACAAGCUGUAAAAACACUUGCUUCAAAAAAUACUCCAAUAUUUUAAAAUUGAAUCUUUUUAUUUAAAUGUGCAAUUCUUUGAAUACCCUAGUCUGGAGACAUUGUAAUUUCAAAAUAGGAUAGUUCAUAUGAGGCAUCAAUAAUAAUGGAUUAUGACUUAUGAUAACCAUAUUUUUUAUUAAAUAAAAGAUUAAAAAAACUGCAAUUUUACUAUACCUGCCAUAGCAGAUAUUUUUGCAAGAUUUAGUAAACGCUUUCUUUCUUCUAAGGUUGUUCUAUUCUUUGGUAAUGUAGGAACUAUGUUAUCAUCCUCAACCAAUGAUAUAGAACCAUCACCACCAAUAUCAUCGAUCAAAAGAGCUAGGUCAUGAAGGGUAUUUGAUACAGAAGCAAAUUUAUUUAAAAACACAUCAUGAAGCCAUUGUAAAUCUUUGUGCUGCUUUAAAUAACUAGACAACUCUUCUUGGAAUUCUUCUCCAAGUCGAAAAAGCUUGGAGAAUUGCUUCUGCUGGUAGAAUUGUUUAAACACAAAAUAGCUGAAUCCACCAGUGGGACCAACACUCUCGUUCUGCAUAAGAAUACAAUUUUUUUCAAAAUUAUAUUUGAUAAAAAAACUGAUUGAAUUGAUGCAACUGGCAAUGGUCAAACUAAAUCAUGUUGAGAAAGAAAUAUAUGAUUGUCACCCUUAUUACAAGAAACGGGAGAUAGAAGGAAAAAAAAAAUAUUUGUAGAAGAAAAGAUAUUAAGGAAUUAAAGAAGCCAAAGAAAGUCAUAAUACCAUGAGGUUUCGAAGAAGCCCUACAUCAUGAAGAUCAUAGCAGAUAUUCCACAAUGUUUGAUAGCCUUCAUGCCGUUUUGCAGUUAAGAGUAAAGUAUGUGAAAUCUCUCGAAAAAUAUUUUCUCUUAGCUUAGGAUUAUCCUCAGGUCCUUUACAUAUUUCCUGUAAAAAAUGGAACUUUAAACUUCAAUUUAAAAUAAAACAAUACAUGAUUCAAAUCAUGUAUUGAAAAUGUAAUAAGAAAAUAUUAAAAUAACAUCAAGCUGUAAUUUACUUGACAGAGCAAAGCACACAACGUAUCCCUAUUCACCAUGACUAAAUUGAUUAAAUAAUGAUAAACUACAGAUUUGAAGGCGGCGCUUAAGCACGCUUACCUCUCCUAGAGAAGCGCUUUUUCCAAGGUGGGUUAUUGGAUUGGGUAAAGAUCCGUAUGAUUAUCCGAUUAGAUGUAUUUAAUUAUUUUUAAAAAACAUAAACUAUUUUUAUUACCAUUUUUACCACUAGUCUUUAAGUUAGAUUAAAAUCUUUUAAACGUCUUCCCCAAAACCCUAGAUUUUAUAAAAAAAGCUUUCCCUCUUCUCCCUUGUGACCUCGCCGGAGAAGCCACUCCUCACUGGAUUUCAGCCUUACGUUACUGGAGUUGGCUCCUACUUCGUUUGAAGACUUGCCUCAGCCUCCUCUACGGUUUUCCUCUAUAAGGUAAGUAUUCCCCUUUCUAAAAAACCACCACUUACCCAAACGAGGUUGGCCGGAUUCGAUGUAUCUCCUCUUCACACAGCCUGUUAAUAUACUCAUUCUGAUAAAUCAAUAUUUUAGAUACACUACAUGAGGAAGCGUUCACUCAUGCAUUCAGGUCUGAAUACAAAUCGGAUCCGAAGCAGAAUACAAUCCAAAACUCAUAUAUUUAAAGGGUAAAAACUACAAAGUAAAAACCUGUUUUUUACUACCCCCCUAUUUCUUACACUACAUGUUCUCCAACAUUCUCUCUGGUAAAACUCUCAAGACCACAGACGACAAAUCUGCCGCACCAAUUUCCUCCUCCCUCCCCCCACCUUCUUUUUGAAGAACUUAAGUUUCUCGUUAUUGAUUGAAGGACAUUGCUCUGGAAUACAAUGAAGUUCAUCAAAUAAAAAAAAAUGGAGAUGAGCACUAGGCUCAUCUUGACACUUUCCACUCAACCAUAUUGCUUAAUAAGAAUUAGGUUGUCUGUCUCAGGAAGUAAGUCUUCCAUAUCUGUAUCAUGCUGGUCUUCAAAGGAUGACAACAGCUCUUCUUAAAGCAUUCAGGCUUGAAGGAGAUGCUCGUCACUAGUGCAUGUCUCCCAUAUCUUUCCCUCAUCUUUUUCUUUGGUUUUUUUAAUCAUUUAUAUUAUUAUUUCUUAUACAUGCAUGUUGAUUCUAAUGACACCUAUAUUAAAUGUAAAAUAAUACAAUUAUUUAAAAAGAAAAUACUAAAAUUUCUGCAGCUAAUAUCACAUAAUGUCCACAUGUGUCUCAUUCAAUCACUUUUAAGCGCAUGUCUGAAUAAAAAAAUCUUAAACUAAAUCAAGACUUAUUUUAUCUUGCUUUCUCAUAAAAAUUUAAUAACUGAGAAUAUAAGUCUUAGAUAAUAAUCUAUUCUUUACUACAUGAUAAAAGUAUGCAAAUCUACUUAAAACUAUAUAAAGCUCAAUUGAAAACAUAUAGGAACUUUUCAUUCUUCACGAGUUGGAAAUAAUGAAGAAAUUAUUUUAUAAAAAGUGAGAAAAUGACAAAAAACUAUAACUCAAGUGUAUAAGGAAAAAACAUGACUUUUAUUUUACCUGGUACUUGUAUUCUGUGAAAUCCAUUGCUUGCUUGUACAAAGCAAAAAGAAGAACAUCUCUUCUAUGAUGAUAUUCUUCAAUAAGACUUUUGGAUUCAUCUCCACAUUCAAUUCUUGAUGUGAUUGAAUUCAUAUAUGACUCAAGUAAAAUAUCAGUCAAUAAUUCCAACUGGGAACGUAAAAUGGAUUUAACAGAAAAAUGGGUCGAUGAAGCUUGACUCAAAAGAUGUGUAACAACAUUUGUUAUACUCCAUAAUCCUGUCCGAACUACUGGUUGGCAAUUCCAACUAAUCAAUCCUUCAGGUGAUGGAUACCAUGUUUGAUGUUGCCUUCUAUAAUCUAGCGCACCAUGUACAAUAGUCACACAAGCAUUUGAGAUUUCGUAGGCUCUUUUCAUUUGAACCACAUUGUGAUGGUUUUCACCGACCAUAUAAUGUAUAUGAUGAGACACGCAAGAGAAAAGUUCAUCAAGUUCAGAAAUUUUACUGUAAAAGACUUCGGCAUUAUCACGGUCCAUUAGAAGAACAGUGUGCCUACGAGAUUUGUCGCCUACUAACUGGAUAAGAUCCCAGAGAGCUCCAGAAGUGGGUUCAUUGAAUAAGUGAGAGGAUUGAAACUCAGGCUCGAACCGCUCGGUUGAACGAUUCUGGCUAAGUUGAUUCUGGAAAUCUCUUAGUUGAAUCAUGCAAAAAAGUUUCUCUCCAUUUUCAACGAUAAUUUGCAAAGAAUGCCCUGUUAGAGGAAAAUAAUAUUAAUGAAUAAGACUUAAAAAUGCAAUGCAUAUAACACAGAUUAUCAGUCACAGGCUCACAGCACUAUUGGAAAACAAAUUUUUGUUCAUUCAUUUUAACGACAUUAAAAAAAAUGCAACCUAGCACAAGGAUUUUACCUUUUAGGGAUUUUAAAAUUUAAAUCACUAAAAAGAGAGACAAACGGACCGGACCCACCACUAAAAAGAGAGACUUAAAAAUGCAAUGCAUAUAACACAGAUUAUCAGUCACAGGCUCACAGCACUAUUGGAAAACAAAUUUUUGUUCAUUCAUUUUAACGACAUUAAAAAAAAUGCAACCUAGCACAAGGAUUUUACCUGUUAGGGAUUUUAAAAUUUAAAUCACUAAAAAGAGAGACAAACGGACCGGACCCACCACAAUGAUUUGAAUAUUUUAUAUUAAAAUUAAUAGAAAGGAAGAUAAGAAAAGAGUGCAUACUCUGCUUCAAAGACAAUUCCUCAUGGCACUUUGACAAGGCUAGGAACUGAAGAUACCUUUCGUGUUUCUGUUUCUUGUCUAAAAGUUGUGACACCACAGCAGAAGAAGAAAGAAAUUCUGUACCUCUUGAAGCCGUCCAAUGCUUAGCAAGAGUGUCAAUUAUAGACUUACUCAUUCGAACAAACACAUUAGCUUCACUUUUCUUUUCAAAUGCCCCACUGUUUUCAAGCUUCUCAAAGGCUCCUUCCUCUACUUCCCCAGACAAAAGAAAUUCAUGAAAAAAAUGUCCAAGCAAAACUUCUGAUUCUUCGUCUAAAGGAGUGUAUUGUUGGUUCAAACCUCCAAAAUUGUUGCCAGCAAGAGAAGAAAAACUUUUACAAACAGCAUUGUUUCUCUUAUCUUCUUCGAGAACUCCACCACUCAAGCUCUCAAUACGUGACACACUCCUCGUCGGAGGCUCAACGCUACCAAGUACAAUUGCCGUUUCUGGUAUAGCCCAAACUCCAGCAUUUUCCGUUAAGACAACCCAUGCCCCUUCUCUUUCUCUUUCGUCUUUGGAAGAUGGAAGAAUUGAAACAUCUAGGACUUUGCCACCGUCAAAAGGUAAAUCGAAUUUAUAAAGUUUAAUUGAACCUUGAGAAUGAUUUGUCACGGUUGCCGUUCCAUCGCUAGAGAGUAUGAUUACCGAGCCAUAUGGUUUCCCACCUACACAAAGUUUCAUAGAAAGUAAAACACUCUCAUCUUCAACCUUGGCUUUCGGAAUUAAAACUUCUAGGGGAUGUUUCCUCUCCAAAACUCUUACUGGACUGUAAUCUUCGAUGGAUAUAUUUCUAUCUGCCUUAUAAUGCAGAGUCAAGAGAGAAUAUUGUGUGUAGCUUGAACUCAUAAUUCGAUCCUUACAAAAUGUGGCUACGAGUACUGUGAAUUCUUUACCAUCUCUGUCAAUUUGCAUAUCUAAAAGCCAUAUAUCUUUCUGACCAGCAAGAUUCUUUUUUAUUCCCAACUCGCCAUCUGUACUGACUAUUUCAUGAGACCAAAGGUGGGUUACUUUUGGAUGGUCUGGAGAUUGCAGAAUGAUGUUCCAACAUUGGAUCUCAUGAUCGACUAAUAAAAAGAACUGCCGACUGGAUGAAUCUAUUUCCUUCUCACCUAAUAAGUCAAAGGUCUGAAAACGCCAUGUAAGUGAUCUGGCAUGUGCUUUUUUAUCAAUCUCAGGGCUUUUGAUCAAAACCUCUCUUUGGGUAAUACUCAUUGGAGUGCAAUGGAAAGACCAUAGAUGACCAUUGGAAUGACAAGCAAGGGAUGCAACUUCGUACGAUGAAUUGGGAAUUGAAGAAGAUAUCAUAGAGUUGAUAAGAAAACCAUCAGUGAUUGAAUAUUUUUCUUCAUUUUGGGGUUGCCAUAAGAUUGGAGCAUGGCCAUCUUCAGUGAAAAUAUCAGGCCAGUAGAUUAUAGAUUGAUACUUCCGAUGACAGAUAACCAGCCCAAUGGAAGUUUUCUUUUUUAAUUUAAUUAAAGAAACUAACCAAGGAUUACGAUAAUCACACCUCACAGUUGAAUCAAUGUGUAUGAGUGCCAAAACAGAUGAUGGGAGUUGAAGAAGUACACAUUUUCUUGCAAACGACGGAUCAAAGUAGCUCCAAAUAAAGAUGUGUUCUUGACAGAUCAUCCAUGCCAUACUCGUAGCCCUGUCCAUGCCACCGUAGAAGUUUUUUCUGAUUCCUGUUUCCCAUGCUCAUUAUCAAAACAAAAGGCACAACAAUACACCUUUGAAAUUUGAUUUUUGAUAUAAUCAUAUUUAGAGUACCUGUGCGUGUUUUCUGCAGACAAUUGGUUUGGGCAGUACGAACAAUUUCAGGGAUUUCACCAAUAUAAGUGGGUUGGACUAGAUCAGUGUUGAAAGCAUUUUCUUCGUUCUUAGUUGGAGUUAUUCUGGGUAUAAAAAUUGCGUCAAAAAAAUCAAUGAAACAUCAGAUUCAUAGAAAUAAUAAAUAUGUAAGUAAUAUAUUAAUUAUUAUUAAGUAUAGAUUGCCCAAUACCCAAAAACUCUAGAAUAUUUGUUAUUAUAAUAUACCCAAUACCCCUAGAGAAUUGAACACCUGAAAUGUUGACGUGAUUGAUUUAUUACCUAGCGAGAACUGAGACACGUGAAUUCCACGGAGCAGGAGUACCAGUGGCCGGUCGGCCAUGACCAUUGGAAGAAUCUGGAGCGAAAGGAUCAGGUGCCGGCGUGGAUUGAGAGUCCGACGGUCCAUGAUCCCUGUUCUUGUCCUUGGAGAAUACGAGACGGGACUUCCGAAUCGCAGGAGUGAACAUCGGAAGAUGGAGAAUCGAACCUAGAAUUCAGAUUUGGAGAUGGAGAUGGAAAAAAUCACUGGGAAUUCGCCAGGGUUUUGUUUUAGGGUUUUGAAGUGGUAGGACUGUAGCCUGUAGGUCUGUAGGAGUGAAGAAGAAAUAGGAGUACCGAACAAUUGGGACAAACCCAAAAAGAUAGAAAACAGAGGGAUUGAUUUGUUAUAAAUGUUAAAAGUUUGAAUUUUGGGAUAAUAUUAUUUUAAUACCUAGAAUUUGGAUAUUUUAUGAAACUACUAAUUAUUACAGUUGAAUCUUAAAUAAGAUAUUUAAAUUUUAUGAAAGGUAAAAGGUUUCGAAAAAAAUAAUUUCAUUGUUCACUCACACACUAUCAUUCAGACAAAACUUAUCUUUCUAUUAUAAGUGAAAGAUUUUUAAUCAUUUUAACUAUCCCUCUCCCAACGGUCUUGGAGGUAUUUAUACUAUCCCACAGGUCUUGGAGGUAUCCAACGAUCCAUAUGAAUAUAUUUCUAAAUCUAAGAUUUCAUUUGUUUAAUGAUGUUUUUUCACAAUGAAAAGCAUGAUGUGGUCUAGAUGCACUUGGAUUUUGAGUAAAGAAUGAAUAUAAUCUAUUUCUGGCAUUUCCUUUGAUCAAGACUUCGUUUGUGUUCCUAUCUUUCACAAUCACCUUAGAUAUAUCAAAUUCAUAAAUAAUAUUAUGAUUUUGACACAUUUUCUGAAAAGAAAGUAAAUUCUUAGAUGUGGCAGAAAUGCGUAAAAAAUCUUUUAAAUGUAAUUUUUUUGCAAUUACAAAUAAAAAAAGUAGUUCUUACGUUAUAUGUAAAAUGUUCAUACCUUCUCCAUUUGCAAUUGUGACUCUGUCACCUCUUUUAUAUGGAGCUGCUAGACUAAGGUUCUCAAAAUCAGAAGUGAUAUGAGUUGAAGCUCACGAGUCAGGAAUCUACAUACUAGAGUGAGUCACUUCUUAUGAUUGUAAAGCUACUAUUGCUACUUCAUCUGACAAAUUUCCUAUAGAUCGCGUCAUGGUAGCAAAUCUUUUUCACAUACUCCCUUAACAUUUCAGUUUCUCUUUGUUCAAUGUUGAGUUGGGUCGACGUGCUAUGUGAUCUUCUUCUGAACAAGAAAACUGGGCUACGCCCACGGGAUUAGCCACGGCCAGCAGAAGCCGUGGCUAAUUGUUAGAAAUUAGCCACGGCUUUUUUAGCCAUGGCUAAGCCCGUGGCUAAUCUUUAUAUUUAGCCACGGAUUUUUGAAUCCGUGGCUAAUCCCGUGGCUAAUUUUCCCGGCAAAUUUCCCUCCAAUUUUUCAUUGAAUAUUUAGCCACGGCUCUUAAAAUCCGUGGCUAAAAUUUGCGGCAAAAUUUCCCUCCAAUUUUCCACUGAAAUUUGCCCACGGAUUUAGCCACGGAUUUAGGAGCCGUGGCUAAUUUAGUGACAAAUAAAUUAGCCACGGAUAUUAGCCACGGCAUUUAGCCCUGGCUAAUAAUGAUAAUAGGGUUAGGGUUAAUGUAAAUGUAAAUAAUUAGGGUUAGGGUUAGGAUUAGGAUUAGGAUUAAUAGAAAUUAACAAAAAUUAGUAAAAAUAAGUAUAUAUACAUAUUUAGAUAGUGUUAGGGUUAGAAAUUAGGGUUAAAAGUAAGAGUUAGAAGUAGAAGUUAGGGUUAGAAGAAGUUAGAUUAUAGUUUUUUAUAUAUUAUAAAAUAUAAAAAAUUUAAAGUUAGAUUAUAAUUAGAUAAUUAUAAAAUAUGUGAACCUUAGCGAUGGGGAACUUCAUCAAAAAACAGAUUGUUUAUUUUAUGGUUGGUUCAAAAACCGCUUGAAACCGAUAGAAGAAGAUGAGCGUUUGCGUGUUCUCUCAAAAGACCCAAAUCGAGAAGUGACGUGUUACAAGAGUUACAUUAUCAAUGGAUUUAGAUUUCACAUAAAGAGUGAGGAUAUUUUAAAAAAAACUCAAAACUCUGGAGUGAUGAUAAAGGGAAGUGCAUACGAAGGUCUAGAGGAAAAUAACUACUAUGGAGUUCUUCUUGAUAUUAUCGAAUUGGAUUUCCUUGGCGAUAUGACUCGAGUAGUUAUGUUCAAAUGUGAUUGGUACGACAUCCACAAAGGAACGAAAAUUGACCGUUCGAAAAAUGUAUCGAUCAACAUACAUACUAAACUUAGAGCAUAUGAACCCUUUGUUCUAUCUCAACAAGCAGAGCAAGUUUUCUACGCACCAAAUGUCUCCCAAAAGAAUAAAGAUUGGCAAACUGUCAUCUGAACAAAAGCUAGAGAUCGUUUUGACAUUCCAGAGGAAGAGGGAGAUACAUAUCAAGAUGACUUUAAUGAGUUCCCUUUAAAUCUUCUUGAUGAUAAUAACAUUGAUAAUGUAUCUCUAAAUGUGGAUGGCUCGUUUGAUGUUGUUUCAUUCGCACCUGACCCCACUUUACAUGAAGAGAGUGAGAGUUAUGUCGAAGAUGAAACAGAAAAUUUUAAUUCUGAAGAUGAAUGUUCUAUAUGAGUCGCCUGAGUGAGUUAUAUGUUUUAUACUUUCAUUUUUUUUUCCAAGCAGAAUAAUUUCAUUUUAUUUAUUCAUUUAGAAAAUAUUCCAUUAGAAAUGGCACGCGGACGAAGUCGUAAACGAACAAACGACGGACGAUCACAAUCUGCAAGAAUAGAUCAAGAAAUCGUAGAGGACCGCUUCGAUGAAGAACAUCGAAGAAAAUGGACAAAAGGAUUGAGACAACCGGAUGCACCAACUCCCGCCACUAUUCUUAAGAGCGGGUGAGUAUUAAUUUUCAUUAUAAUUCAUUAUUUAAUUUGAUUGUUUUUUAUAGGACUUUUACAAACAAUGUAAGAAGCCAAAUAGGAAUAUUAGUAAAAGGUAAUAUAACGUCACCUUUAACUAAAUGGACUUCUUGGAAAGAAGAGGAAAAGGAAAAUAUUUUCGUCAAAUUUCUGGUAUGAUUUAUUUAUUUAUUUGUCAUUUUUUCCAUAUGUCAUUUUUUUCCAUAUGUAAUGUUUUCGUCUUUAUGUAGUGCUAUUUCUCAUUUGAGGACAUUCAAUUGGCUCGUGAAUGUUUUGAUAAUUAUGUCCAAUUAAAUUAUACAUGUUGGUUGUAUAAAGCGAGACAAGAGGCAAAGAAAUUGGCAAAAGUUGACACACUUACCAGAUCUUGCGCUAGAUUUCCACCGAUAUACCUUUCUGCGGAAGUAUGGAGUGAAAUGAUUGAAAUGUGGUUAAAAGAAGAUUGGAAAAAAAGAUCAGAAAAAGCAUCAGAAAAUAGGACAAACAAUCCAGAUUACAUGCCAUACACGGGUGGAUCUUGUUCAGUUGCGGCCACUCAUGAAAGAAUGGUAAAAAAACAUUUCUUUCAUAUAUUUUACAUUUAUCAUUCUAAUUUUUUUGAGUAUAACAAUCAGAAUGAAGAAGCUGGUCAUGAAGUUGGUCACUGUGAGGUUUAUAAGAAAACACAUAGUUUGGCUAAGACAAACGACUGGGCCCAUCCAAAGGGAGGAUGCUUCAUUGUAAGAAAAUUCGUUAGAAAUGCUUCGUUUUAAGAUAUUUAAGUCAUAUUUUUUAUUUAUUAUUGAUUUUCAUUUUUAUAGGCUGACUAUAAUGAGCUUCAAAGAAAUGCUAUGGAAGCAGGAAAUUCUGAAAUCAACUCAUCUAAUGGAUCACACACACUCCCUGAUAAUUUAGAAUUAUGGGUCAAAGCUACUAACGGAAAAAACAAAGGUCGUGUGCUUGGAACCAGAGCAAGUGAUCCAAUGCCAUUACCAAUUCCUGAUAAUAUGGCGACUUCACAGAACACAACGACGAAUUAUAUAGAAAUUCAACAACAAAAAAGUAAAGAAGACUUUGAUCGGGCAGUUCAAGAGGCCAUUAGAAAACAGAUGCCGGAUAUACUAAAGGAACUAAGGGAAGACUUACGUCGAGAGACGAUUGAGGUAAUUAGCAUUUAUAUAUAUAUCAAUAUUCAUAUUUUCUUUAUAAUUUCAAUUUUUUUUUACAUUAGGGUCAGUCGAGCCAAGGACGCGACAACAUAAUCACGCCUACUACAAGAGAUUCAAAUGUCGAAAAUGUUGGCAAAAAAGCGACUCAAAGUCCGACUAAAAGUGGGACGAAUAGCGUGACUGACACCAACAAAUAGGUUCCUCUUCUUUUAUCUUUUGGUUUAGUUUUGUUUUGAAUAACAUGAAUUGUAUGAAUGGUAUGUUUUGUUGGUUAUUGAAUGGUAUGUUUUGGAAUGGAAUGGUAUGUUUUGUUGGUUAUUGAAUGAUAUGUUUUGGAAUGGAAUGGUAUGUUUUGGAAUGACAAUAGGUAUGGAAUUGAAUGGUAUGUUUUGGAAUGAUUGGUUGAAUGUUUUGGAUAAUUUUUAGGGAUAUUGAUUGGUUGAAUGAUUGGUUGAAUGAUUGGUUGAAUGGAAUAUGAAUGUAAAUAUAUGUUUGAUUGAUUUUUUUAGGUUAUAUGAAUGUGUAAGACCUUCAAUAGGCGUCUUCUAAAAUGUAAAUAUUUCCUACAAUUUUUUUAGAAAUUAGCCACGGCCUUUUGGCAUUUAGCCACGGAUUUUGGCCGUGGCCCUUCACUUUCUACUCUGUUUGAAGGAUUUAGCCACGGCCAAUUAAGGAUUAGCCACGGCCAAAAUCCGUGGCUAAAUUUAUUUAAGGAUUUAGCCACGGGAUUAGCCACGGAUUUUGGCCGUGGCCCUUCACUUUCCACUCUGUUUGAAGGAUUUAGCCACGGCCAAUUAAGGAUUAGCCACGGCCAAAAUCCGUGGCUAAAUUUUAUUUAGCCACGGAAAAAUAAGAUUAGCCACGGAUUUUACAGUGACUAAUUUUUAACAUUAGCCACGGAUUUUGGCCGUGGCUAAAAUAAAUGGCCGUGGCUAAUAUUAGCCACGGAAAAUCAAUUCCGUGGCUAAAAAUUAGUAGCCACCACACCUACAGCCACGGCCACUCCCGUGGCUAAUUCCCGUGGCUAAAUCAAUUUAGCCACGGAUUUUGCCAUUUAGCCAGUGAACUUGGCCGUGGCUGUUUCCCUGUUUUCUUGUAGUGACCUAAUGACUAUAAGCUUGUCGAAACAUGCUCUUGAUCAACUGAGUGAACAUCUUGAUACUGCCCUUAGGAAGACUUUGGUACCAACAAAUCACUCUUUCUCUCAAGGUUCUUCUGAACAUCCUACACCAUAUGUCCUCUCUAUCAGGCACAUCUUCUAUCCUUGUAACGUUAUGGUCUUUUGGGUCUGUCGCACCGUUAUAGAUGGGCAAUUUGGGCUUUCUCCACCCUUUAGGAUAUUAUUAUUAUUAAUAAUUAUUAUUGUUAUUGAUUACUAUUUAAUAGUUAAAAUUUAAAAACUUAAACUUAAAUUAAAUACUUAAUUAAGCUCUCUAACUCAAGUCUCAAACCCAGAAAUAAAAAAAGUCCUAAACUGAGUGAACAUCUUGAUACUGCCCUUAGGAAGAUUUUGGUACCAACAAAUCACUCUUUCUCUCAAGGUUUUUCUGAACAUCCUAAACCAUAUGUCCUCUCUAUCAGGCACAUAUUCCAUCCUUGUAACGUUAUGAUCUUCUAGGUCUGUCGCACCGUUAUAGAUGGGCAAUUUGGACCUUCUCCACUCUUUUGGAUAUUAGUAUUAUUAAUUAUUAUUGUUAUUAAUUACUAUUUAAUAGUUAAAAUUUAAAGACUUAAACUAAAAUUAAAUACUUAAUUAAACUCUUUAAUCUAUUCUCUAACUCAAGUCUCUAACCCUGAAAUAAAAAAGUCCUAAAUUUGUAUUUAAUAUUUAUUAUUUUAGAUUUAAAAUUAUUUUAUUAAUUUUUUUUUUAUUUGUUGGGCCAGGGCGGAGCAUCUUGUUUUUUCCAUGGUGCCCUAGUGGCCGAUUCCGAGGUAGGAAACAAGGCAAGAGAUUCUGGAAGCUGACCCGUCCCAUUCUCAACCCUAUCUGGAAGUGGGUUUAUUUCUGAAAAAUAAUAGAUGAUGAGAAUAUGAAAUAGGUAAAAAAAUUUAAUUUGAGGCUAUUUUAAUAUAUAUUAUAAAUUUAUCUAUCUGUCCAGAUUUUAGGCUGAUCAGGGCGGUAUUUUUCACUCUGAAUGACUUCAAAUCGGUGCGGGUCGGACCCAUGCUCACUCCCAUAUGCAUAGUAUUGAGGGUUAUUUUGGAUAACCCCUUAAACUAAUUGUUUACCGGAUACAUGAUUCGUAAAAAAAAUGGACGGUUAGAUGUGUUUCAUUUUUGCAUGGUACAAAAAUUAUUGGACUAUCAUGAUAAAGAGAUGGUAACUAUAGUGGAAUCAAUUAAAAAAUGGAAGCACUAUCUCUUAUGCUUGCGAUUUACAGUAAUCACAGAUUACAAUAGCCUAAAACAUCUUUUCACAGUAAUCUCUUUUGCUUGUUCUCUCUACCCCUGAGUGACCCCCUAUUGGACUAUCAUGAUACUCCCUCAUUAUUUUUGGGAUUAAUAUGAACUCUUGGUCUAAGACAUACCUCCUGUUGUAAAAAAUUCUCCCUUCCACCACCAUAAAAUUAAUGUUCCUUUCCAAGUCUUGUUCAAUGCUCACUAUAAAAAAACAGUGUUUUUAUGACAGGUCUCUACUGGCGACCUGGCCGUCGGUAGACUGUACGAGUCCACCAGUCUUAUUACAUCAAUAAUCGGAAUCAGCAAAUUCUUACUGCUGGCCAGGCCGCCAGGAUAAUACAUAUUUGGUGACAACACUACUGGCGAUGACAUAUUGACGGUCGGGCCGUCAGGAUGAAUCAAGUAUGUGCUAAUUAAUUUACAAUAUGAUAAGAGAAUCUAUUAAUUAUUAUUUAAGAUAUGAAGAUCAUAGAAAAUCAUAUAUAUAUAUGAUUUAAUUAUUUCAUCUAUAAAAAACCAUGGAUUAAUCCAUUUAUUCUUCUUAUCUAGAAUAAAUCUUCUAAAUACUGUCAAAAUGGAUUUUGCGAAAUUCUUCAUGUUCUUAUUCUUAUUGGUCGACAAUCUUGUCUCUCUCCCACAAGGUAAAUUAAACCAUUCACUCUUCCGAAAUCUCUUCUGUUCGUAAAUCAGUAUAAUGAAAUCAUCAUUGAGAUUAAUAUUUAUCAAACAUGUUUUCUAUAUGUAUAGGUAGAGUGAUGACGAAACCAACGGAAAUUUAAGCUGAAUUUUUAAAAUAUUGCUGCGAUGAAUUUUUCUCUGCCAGUAUAUGUGUUAUUAUGACAAGGAUGAAUACAGUCAUGCUUGUUAUGAUAAAUGAAUUAUUGUUCAAGAUGUUAAAGCCCACAUAUUGAAGUAGUGUAGAUUUUGUAAUAUUUUUAAUAUAUGGGAAAGUUUUAGAUUGUGUUCCAUUGUAUUCAUAUCGUUGCGUUUAAUUUUGGAAUCUCGAGUUUGAUUUGGGGUUUUCGCUUAAUAUAAGUUCCGUCGUUAAUUUUUAGGUUUUUUUUCAUAACUAAGCAUUUAAUCUAUCUCAUCAUUCUCUGCUUCUGUUCCAACACAGACAUCCACAAUAACUGUUAAUUUGGUUAACUAAGCGGCAAUGGUUCAAAAAAUGAUUUAUUCAGUAGUGUUCUUGUGCCCUCAUCCACUGGCAGAGUGGAAUUAUCUCGUUUUAAAAAUCCAAUUAGAUGGUGCAUUAUGAGGGUAAUUUAGUUUUCGAUAACUUGGAAAUCAUCAGUUAACUACCUAAGUAUGGUUGUAAUAAGUAUUGACUCAAAAAUUGGGUUGGAUUAUUGCCGUCGGUACUCAGGCCCAGAUAAACUGAACCAGGAACCAACCAGACCCCUAAGCCUAGAGGCCCAACCCACCAUUCCACAUAAACUCUAUAAAUAUACCUCAACACCCUUUGCCCAUUGUUAGAAUUCAUAAUAGAAGUGAGAAGGAAAGGAGCGAUUGUAAACAUUAUUGUUGGUGUGAUCAUAUAUUUGUCGUCCCGAGUUAAUCUUGAUCGUGUGUAAGUGUUGUUACGGGAAGGUAACACGUUAGCAUUUACACCAUCACUUAUUGAACUCAAUCUAACGAGCUAAACUUAAGCCUAAUUAGUUCUUAUCGAUAUUAGGGUUUAGAAUGCAGUUUAUCAAGCGGAAACUUGAUGGGAUACUAGAACCAAGCCAUCUUUAUUCCUCAGAUAUUUUAUUUCUCCGACAAUCAUAGCUAAAGUUAGAACUACCAUCACUAUCUAACAUCAUGAAAAGUAAAAGAUUUGAAAAAAUGAUAUCAUAAAAAUCCGCUAUCGAGUUUUGAUCAACAAUCAAGUGUGUUUUAAAUUAAUUUACAGUACUGAAAUGACAAGAGAAUCUACCAGCAAAGAGAUAAGUUAGAUUUAAAGGUCAAGAAGUUUCAAAUUUAAAAUUCUUCAAAAUGCAUAUAUGCAUCCCACAAUGUCAUUUUUCAAAUUAAUUAAACAAAAUCUAGAUAAGAGAUAAUUAAUGAUGUUAUAAACCAGCAAAGAGAUAAGUCAGAUUUCGCUUUCAAAAAAAAAAGUCAGAUUUAACGAUAAAAAAGUUUCGAAUUUA
rnacentral:lncRNA from 1 species